CUGGGGCUGGAGCAGGUCCCAAGGGUAUGGCUGUUCGCCAUUUAAAGAGGUACGUGAGCUGGGUUCAGAACGUCGUGAGACAGGUUGGUCCCUAUCUGCCGUGGGUGUAGGAUAUUUGAGAGGAUUUGUCCCUAGUACGAGAGGACCGGGAUGAACAUACCUCUGGUGGACCAGUCGUGACGCCAGUCGCGCAGCUGGGUAGCUAUGUAUGGACAAGAUAACCGCUGAAAGCAUCUAAGCGGGAAACUUACCUCAAAACCAGAUAUCCCUGAGAGCCGUGAUAGACUAUCACGUCGAUAGGCCGGGUGUGGAAGGUCCGCGAGGACUGCAGCUUACCGGUACUAAUUGCUCGAUAGGCUUGAUUAA
rnacentral:rRNA from 1 species